rnacentral:miRNA from 1 species
AACAGGUUUGGAACAACUUGUUGACAACUAAUUGUAACAACCUUGUCGAAAUUAUCAGACUUGUUGCAAGGUUGUUCUGACAAGUUUGUGACAUGCUUGAUACAACCUUGUGUUGACAACAUUGUAACCUUGUAACAUGUUUCCUUGUUAUAUCAUGGCUGUAACAAACUUGUUAGCACAAUCUUGUAACAAGGCUGAUAAUGCCAUCAAGCUUGUUACAAGUUGUUAACAGCUUUUUUCACACUUGUU